GAAAUGCGAUAAGUAAUGUGAAUUGCAGAAUUCAGUGAAUCAUCGAAUCUUUGAACGCACAUUGCGCCCGCCAGAAUUCUGGCGGGCAUGCCUGUUCGAGCGUCAUUUCAACCCUCGAGCUCCCCUUUCGGGGGGAGCCCGGCGUUGGGGACCCGGCGCUAACAACGCCGGCCCCGAAAUGGAGUGACGGCCCGUCCGCGGCGACCUCUGCGUAGUAACAACCACUCGCACCGGGACCCGGGCGCGGCCACGCCGUAAAACACCCCACCUUCCGAAUGUUGACCUCGAAUCAGGUAGGAAUACCCGCUGAACUUAAGC
rnacentral:misc_RNA from 1 species